AGUAAUCGUGGAUCAGCAUGCCACGGUGAAUACGUUCCCGGGCCUUGUACACACCGCCCGUCACACCAUGAGAGCCGGGAACACCCGAAGUCCGUAGUCUAACCGCAAGGAGGACGCAGUCGAAGGUGGGAUUGAUGACUGGGGUGAAGUCGUAACAAGGUACC
rnacentral:rRNA from 1 species